rnacentral:rRNA from 1 species
UACGGGGGGGGCAAGCGUUGUUCGGAAUUACUGGGCGUAAAGGGCGCGUAGGCUGUUUGCUAAGUUGGAUGUGAAAACUCUGGGCUUAACCCAGAGCCUGCAUCCAAAACUGGCAGGCUGGAGUUUUGGAGGGGGAAGCGGAAUUCCUGGUGUAGCAGUGAAAUGCGUAGAUAUCAGGAGGAACACCGGUGGCGAAGGCGGCUUCCUGGACAAAAACUGACGCUGAGGCGCGAAAGCUAGGGGAGCAAACGGG